rnacentral:rRNA from 1 species
UACAGAGGGUGCAAGCGUUGUUCGGAAUUAUUGGGCGUAAAGCGCGUGUAGGCGGCUUUGCAAGUCGGGUGUGAAAUCCCUCAGCUUAACUGAGGAAGUGCGCCCGAAACUGCAGAGCUUGAGUACCGGAGAGGGUGGCGGAAUUCCCCAAGUAGAGGUGAAAUUCGUAGAUAUGGGGAGGAACACCGGGUGGCGAAGGCGGCCACCUGGACGGAUACUGACGCUGAGACGCGAAAGCGUGGGGAGCAAACAGG